rnacentral:rRNA from 1 species
UACGUAGGGAGCAAGCGUUGUCCGGAUUUAUUGGGCGUAAAGAGCUCGUAGGCGGUUACGUAAGUCAGGUGUGAAACCUCCAGGCUCAACCUGGAGACGCCACUUGAUACUGCGUUGACUUGAGUUCGGUAGGGGUAAGCGGAAUUCCUGGUGUAGCGGUGAAAUGCGCAGAUAUCAGGAGGAACACCUGUGGCGAAGGCGGCCCCCUGGGCCGCACCUGACGCUGAGACGCGAAGGCGUGGGGAGCGAACGGGG